GCCUGAAGGGCGAAGCAGGACCCUUAGGAUUUCUCAUAGGUGUCCUCGCUGCCUGCGCCCAUUUUCAACCUUUUUUAUACCUGAAAUGCCAAAGAGAGUCACCUGAAUUGUGCCACUUGAAUUGUGGCCAGCCUGAAUUGAAAUAUGCUCCAAAUGCACACCCUGUUUUGGAAACUUAGAGAGGCGGAAUGUAAAAUGUUAAUCAUUUAAAAGUAUAAAAGUGUAAAAAAAAAAAGUAUAUUUUGUUGAAAUGCCCUGUGGAUAAAUUGAGCUAUCUAAAAUAUAUUCUUAAGACUGAUUUCACCUGUAUAUAUUUUUUCUACUGUGACUGUUAGAAAAUUUAAGAUGAUUCUUGUGUGCUGGUAUGGUGACACAUGCCUAUAAUCCCUGCUCUCCAGAGGGUAAGGAAGGAGGAUCACAAGACUAGGUUCA
rnacentral:lncRNA from 1 species